UGUGUGUAGGUCACCUAAAUCAUCAGAAAAAUUGCCCCCCCUGAGAAUUUUUUCAGGAGCCGCCACUGCCACUGAGGCAAAUACUUUCAGGAGUUAAACAACACCAGAAAAAAAAAAUCACCUUGUCUCAUUCUUCCAACGUAGCUAGUGACUUUAUAAAACAAUAUUUGGUAUUUGUAUUUUAUAUUAUACCAACAAUAUAGGAACGCCUCUGGUGGCAAAAUAGUCAAUAAUAUAUAGGGUGUUCACCCAUCAAAUUAUUAAUUAUUUCAAGGUUUACAAAUAUUCCCAUUCAAUAGAAAAUUCUGUCAGAAAACAAUAGUCCAAACCCCAUGUAUCUACCGUAUAUGGUUCAAAAGUUACCGACGAUUUACUCUUGAGAAUUUAGCAUGUUUAGAUUAAAUGGAACGUCAUCACAGGCAUGAUCAAAAAGUGGUCACGUUCAAUAGAACUCCGCGGCAGAACGGCGCUAACUUCGAAAUUCAAUUUACAAGCUAACUAGUGGCUGUAGGUACGUGAGUGAAAACAUAUGCUUUUUAUUAAUGAAAUCCGCUGAAUACAAAACUAAAUAGGGACUAAAUAUAUGUAUAUAUAUAUAUGUCUUUCCCUUUAAAACGCUAUAGAACGGCCCCUCUCAACGUAGAUUGAUCGCGGUUAUAGGUAAUAGGAAGGAUCUGGAGGUGAAAAUGAAGAAGGUAUCAAGUUGAUUUUGAUUGGUCCAACCAGCGGCAACGCCUCCAAAUCGUACCACCUCACAACACCAAUAUGGAACACCAAAUCGCUCGUCCAUAUAUUAUGUGGCUGGCAGGGUGACCCCAGUAUGCGUCUCACCUCCGCCACGAGAAGUCUGUGGAGGUGACGCUUGGCUGCAACUAUGUAAUAAACGAUUUCCUAUGUAUAUAGACUAGACAUUACUGGGCAUUUUUGCAUUAGAUUUGGUCAGUUUUCUAAUAACGUGUGUGUGGUAAACAGGUGUGUUGUGCGUGUUUUGAGCAGCAGACCGAUGUCUCGGUGGCAUAUGCCACUCUCCACAUGGGGCUGGACGGGCUGCUCUCCUCUCCAGUGUGGUCUGAGGCUGCCUCCUUCUCUAUGCCCACCACUCAGCAGUUCACUGAGCCAGAGGCCCACAACUGCUAUGAGGUCAGAUGUUACAUACACACACACACACAUACAUACUAUUGACUAGGCACAUUAAGAUCCUUCGAUUGACCGAUUAUUUGUUAUGUCAUUGCAUUGGUCACUGAUUUUGAAUGCUUGUUUUGUUGUUGUAGGGAUGGGAGGAGGACCUGCUGCCUGAGGAGAGGGAGGUUCCUCUGCUAAACUGAGUUCCUCUAAAUGUCUGUGUAGUCUGGGCUUGUCAGAUGCUGAAGGAUAGUGGUCACAAUGCUGUUAUCCCCCAUUGACUACUGGUUGACAUGCUCCAUUCCCUCCCUCCCACAGCCUCUACCUUACCACCAAGAUAGUGGAGGACAUCGCCCUGAGGCUCGUCUCCCUGCGCCAGGCCUUCACUACCCUGCUCGGUUCCACCCUGAGCAGGAACCAUCUGUUUGUGGUGGGAAAGGUCCUCCUGGGCGCACUGGUUCAGGCCAACCACAAGGACGAGGCCAAAUUCAUCCGUGCCUAUAACAACUUUGUGGACUACCUGAGUGACCCCUCCAAGCAGAUUGACAUUGAGAGGGAGCUGGCUGAGGCAAAGAUCCAUCAUGUUAACCUGAUUGAUGUCCUCUUUGAGCUGGUGCUGUUUGGGAUGAUGACAGCUCAGAAGUCCCUGAUGGUGCACCCUGGUGGGUUCGUGGAGCGUCUGUAUGCUCUCCUGUACUCCUUCCUGCCCACUGCUGCCAAAAUGGAGCCAGAGGCUGAGAGAUACCUGCUGCUGCUCAAUGAGUCAAGAGGUUACUUCCUGUUUACUUCCGUAUUCUUAGUUUACUUCCUUUUUACUUCCUUAUUAAUGGUUAACCAGGUUUCAAUGCCAUUUUAGGGGGAGUAGUGCUCAUUGUCUCUCUCCUCUUGAUAAGCUAGUAACUCAGAGCCAUUUUCUAUGUGUUGUGUGGUGUUCUCUUCAGGGCUGGCUGAUGGCUCUGCUAGAUGACAUGUUUGGCCAGAAGCUGGCCUGGUACUUUAACCCAGUCUCUGGUCACUGAGCUCUCCAGCCUCCUGGAGUACCACUUGGAGAACCUCAUGGCCAGCAUGUAGUCAUACUGCAGGGACCAUACUCCUUUCUCAUCCCUCUCUCUUCUCACAUUUUCUCCCUCUCUCUCUCUUGUGAAGGAAUUGAGAACUUUAAGUGCUUUGUUGAACCCUGAUUAGUUAACACCCAUUAAAUUAAUGUAUUCUCUUGUUUUCUCUCCCCACAGUAUUAUUGUGACACUUUGCCACCUAACAGGGAUCUAGACACCAAUGCAAUACAUUACUUUGCACUGAAUUUUAAAUUUUUUUAUAAAAUAAGUAGUAGUUCAAAAACAUUUAUUACUGCGGUUGAAAAUUAACCAGCUGGCUAAAACCGGCGCUUUUACUGAAACGUUGAUUAAUGUGCA